rnacentral:misc_RNA from 1 species
UUGAAAUUAUAGGCGAGGGUUGUAGCUGGCCUCUCGGGGCAUGUGCACGCCCGAGCCCUUAAUCCACACACACCUGUGAACCUAUUGUAAGGGCCCGUAAAAAAGGCCUUUACGUCUUAUCACCAACCCAUCGUAUGUCUCAUAGAAUGUAAAUAUAUGUCCUCG